UGGCUCAGAUUGAACGCUGGCGGCAGGCCUAACACAUGCAAGUCGAGCGGCAGCACAGAGAAACUUGUUUCUCGGGUGGCGAGCGGCGGACGGGUGAGUAAUGCCUGGGAAAUUGCCCUGAUGUGGGGGAUAACCAUUGGAAACGAUGGCUAAUACCGCAUGAUAGCUUCGGCUCAAAGAGGGGGACCUUCGGGCCUCUCGCGUCAGGAUAUGCCCAGGUGGGAUUAGCUAGUUGGUGAGGUAAUGGCUCACCAAGGCGACGAUCCCUAGCUGGUCUGAGAGGAUGAUCAGCCACACUGGAACUGAGACACGGUCCAGACUCCUACGGGAGGCAGCAGUGGGGAAUAUUGCACAAUGGGCGCAAGCCUGAUGCAGCCAUGCCGCGUGUGUGAAGAAGGCCUUCGGGUUGUAAAGCACUUUCAGUCGUGAGGAAGGUGGUGUUGUUAAUAGCAGCAUCAUUUGACGUUAGCGACAGAAGAAGCACCGGCUAACUCCGUGCCAGCAGCCGCGGUAAUACGGAGGGUGCGAGCGUUAAUCGGAAUUACUGGGCGUAAAGCGCAUGCAGGUGGUUUGUUAAGUCAGAUGUGAAAGCCCGGGGCUCAACCUCGGAAUAGCAUUUGAAACUGGCAAGCUAGAGUACUGUAGAGGGGGGUAGAAUUUCAGGUGUAGCGGUGAAAUGCGUAGAGAUCUGAAGGAAUACCGGUGGCGAAGGCGGCCCCCUGGACAGAUACUGACACUCAGAUGCGAAAGCGUGGGGAGCAAACAGGAUUAGAUACCCUGGUAGUCCACGCCGUAAACGAUGUCUACUUGGAGGUUGUGGCCUUGAGCCGUGGCUUUCGGAGCUAACGCGUUAAGUAGACCGCCUGGGGAGUACGGUCGCAAGAUUAAAACUCAAAUGAAUUGACGGGGGCCCGCACAAGCGGUGGAGCAUGUGGUUUAAUUCGAUGCAACGCGAAGAACCUUACCUACUCUUGACAUCCACAGAAUCUUGCGGAGACGCGGGAGUGCCUUCGGGAACUG
rnacentral:rRNA from 1 species